rnacentral:rRNA from 1 species
GAAGUAGAAAGGCUAUGGCUCAACCAUAGUAAGCUUUUGAAACUGUUAAACUUGAGUGCAGGAGAGGAAGUGGAAUUCCUAGUGUAGAGGUGAAAUUCGUAGAUAUUAGGAGGAACACCAGUGGCGAAGGCGACUUCUGGACUGUAACUGACGCUGACGGCAACGAAAGCGUGGGAGCGAACAGGAUUAGAUACCCUGGUAG